GACGAACGCUGGCGGCGUGCCUAACACAUGCAAGUCGAACGGGAUCCAUGGAGUGCUUGCACUCCGGAAGAUCUAGUGGCGAACGGGUGAGUAACACGUGAGAAACCUGCCCCAGACUCUGGGAUAACCUCGGGAAACCGAAGCUAAUACCGGAUAUUCUCCUUUGGUCGCAUGGCCAGUUGAGGAAAGUUUUUCGGUCUGGGAGGGUCUCGCGGCCUAUCAGCUAGUUGGUGGGGUAACGGCCCACCAAGGCUACGACGGGUAGCUGGUUUGAGAGAACGAUCAGCCACACUGGAACUGAGACACGGUCCAGACUCCUACGGGAGGCAGCAGUGGGGAAUCUUGCGCAAUGGGCGAAAGCCUGACGCAGCAACGCCGCGUGCGGGAUGAAGGCCUUCGGUUGUAACCGCUUUCAGCAGGGACGAAAAUAGACGGUACCUGCAGAAGAAGACCCGGCUAACCUACGUG
rnacentral:rRNA from 1 species